GUGAAUCAUCGAAUCUUUGAACGCAAAUUGCACUCUCUGGUAUUCCGGAGAGUAUGCCUGUUUGAGGGUCAGUUUUAAUUAAAAUCGAGGCGUUGCUGUUUUGUGUCCUAUCGGAAUUGGGUUAUCUCUGACCUCUUAAAAAGUUUAAGUGACCUAAUAUUUAUACCUUGUGCAUCUCAGACGUACAUAAGAAUAUUAUCUUAUCCGUUCGGAGUGGCCAUCUUUAUAUUAGGUAUGACCAUUCAGUUUGUGGCAUCGUCCCUAUUUUAUACUCAUAUU
rnacentral:misc_RNA from 1 species